AUACUUACCUGGCAGAGGAGAUACCAUGAUCACGAAGGUGGUUUCCCCAGGGUGAGGCUUAUCCAUUGCACUCCCGAUGUGCUGACCCCUGUGAUUCCCCCAAAUGUGGGAGACUUGACUGCAUAAUUUGUGGUAAUGGGGGACUGCAUUUACACUUUUCCCUG
ensembl:snRNA U1 U1 spliceosomal RNA